UACGUAGGGGGCGAGCGUUGCCCGGAUUCACUGGGCGUAAAGCGCGUGUAGGCGGUCUGUUAAGUCGGAUGUGAAAUCUUCGGGCUCAACUCGGAAACUGCAUCCGAUACUGGCAGACUUGAGGAUGGUAGAGGUCGGUGGAAUACCAGGUGUACCGGUGAAAUGGGCAGAUAUCUGGUGGAACACCAGUGGCGAAGGCGGCCGACUGGGCCAAUCCUGACGCUGAGACGCGAAAGCCAGGGUAGCGAACCGG
rnacentral:rRNA from 1 species